GAUGAACGCUAGCGGGAGGCCUAACACAUGCAAGCCGAGCGGUAUUGUUUCUUCGGAAAUGAGAGAGCGGCGUACGGGUGCGGAACACGUGUGCAACCUGCCUUUAUCUGGGGGAUAGCCUUUCGAAAGGAAGAUUAAUACUCCAUAACAUAUUGAACGGCAUCGUUUGAUAUUGAAAGCCCCGGCGGAUAGAGAUGGGCACGCGCAAGAUUAGCUAGUUGGUGAGGUAACGGCUCACCAAGGCGAUGAUCUUUAGGGGGCCUGAGAGGGUGAUCCCCCACACUGGUACUGAGACACGGACCAGACUCCUACGGGAGGCAGCAGUGAGGAAUAUUGGUCAAUGGGUGCAAGCCUGAACCAGCCAUCCCGCGUGAAGGACGACUGCCCUAUGGGUUGUAAACUUCUUUUGUAUAGGGAUAAACCUACCCUCGUGAGGGUAGCUGAAGGUACUAUACGAAUAAGCACCGGCUAACUCCGUGCCAGCAGCCGCGGUAAGAC
rnacentral:rRNA from 1 species